UACGGAGGGUGCAAGCGUUAAUCGGAUUUACUGGGCGUAAAGCGUGCGUAGGUGGUUUGUUAAGUCGGAUGUGAAAUCCCAGGGCUCAACCUUGGAAUUGCAUUCGAUACUGGCAGACUAGAGAUCGGUAGAGUUUAGUGGAAUUCCAGGUGUAGCGGUGAAAUGCGUAGAUAUCUGGAGGAACAUCGGUGGCGAAGGCAACUGACUGGGCCUGAUCUGACACUGAGGUACGAAAGCGUGGGGAGCGAACGGG
rnacentral:misc_RNA from 1 species